AUGGACGGGGCCGCCCACAUCGCCGGUGACUCCUCGGAGGCCGACAGGGCCUCCUCCUCCGCGUCCUCGACCGACUCGGCCUCCCGGCGCUCCCAACCGCGGAAGGGGAUUCACCUGCGGCGGCGCCGGCGACUGUUGUUCGCUCGGAGAGGAGAGGGCGGCGAAGGCGACGGUAAGGACGCCGAUGACGACGUACAGGACCUCGCACUGUCGUCGGGGAUGUCCUUCGCGGCGGUUCUCGCCCAGCCGGAGGCUCAACAUCAGGGGCCGCGUCUACCCAGCGAUGCUCCCCGUCGACGGCAACAAAGUCCCCGGAAAGGGGAUCACUGA
rnacentral:rRNA from 1 species